AGCUUUGUGCAAUGGCAGUAUCAUAGUCAGUGAGGUUUAUCCAAGGCACGAUUAUUGAUAAUUGAGAGUAUGGCCCCAAUGUGUAUCCAUUUAGCUAUAAAUGGCUCUAGUUUCUCAUUUUUUAUGGCUGAG
ensembl:snRNA U4 U4 spliceosomal RNA